AAGAAAGAAGAAGAAGAAGAGGAGGAGGAGGAGGAGGAGGAGGAGGAGGCUGGAAGAUGAGAUGGGAUUACUAACUCUAUGAAGCAAAGGCACAGAGGUGCUAGGUUGUGGUGGCCAGUUUGACAGCACCUGGAAUCACGUAGAAGACAAAUUUCUGGAUAUGUCUGUCAGGAAGAAUCAUUGAAGCAGGAAGACCCAUCCUAACCAUGGGUGGUACAAGGUCAUAGGCUCAUGUCCUGAACUGAAUAAAAAAGUAGAAAGCAAGUUAAGUUGGCCAGGAACUUGUUCUCCAUUUCCAGAAGCUUCCCAAGUUCUCAUACCCCCGGAUCUCCAAAGUCAACAGAGGGGUUUCUACAAGUAAUUUCCAGAAUGUGAAUACAUGAUGCCUGUCAGUUUCAAGGUUCU
rnacentral:lncRNA from 1 species